GACGAACGCUGGCGGCGUGCCUAAUACAUGCAAGUUGAGCGCUGAAGGUUGGUACUUGUACCAACUGGAUGAGCAGCGAACGGGUGAGUAACGCGUGGGUAAUCUGCCUUUGAGCGGGGGACAACAUUUGGAAACGAAUGCUAAUACCGCAUAAAAACUUUAAACACAAGUUUUAAGUUUGAAAGAUGCAAUUGCAUCACUCAAAGAUGAUCCCGCGUUGUAUUAGCUAGUUGGUGAGGUAAAGGCUCACCAAGGCGAUGAUACAUAGCCGACCUGAGAGGGUGAUCGGCCACAUUGGAACUGAGACACGGCCCAAACUCCUACGGGAGGCAGCAGUAGGGAAUCUUCGGCAAUGGGCGAAAGUCUGACCGAGCAACGCCGCGUGAGUGAGGAAGGUUUUCGGAUCGUAAAACUCUGUUGGUAGAGAAGAACGUUGGUGAGAGUGGAAAGCUCAUCAAGUGACGGUAACUACCCAGAAAAGGACGGCGAACUACGU
rnacentral:rRNA from 1 species